rnacentral:rRNA from 1 species
AUCGAACGCUGGCGGCAGGCUUAACACAUGCAAGUCGAGCGGGGUGAUGGUGCUUGCACUAUCACUUAGCGGCGGACGGGUGGGUAAUGCUUAGGAAUCUGCCUAUUAGUGGGGGACAACAUCUCGAAAGGGAUGCUAAUACCGCAUACGUCCUACGGGAGAAAGCAGGGGAUCACUUGUGACCUUGCGCUAAUAGAUGAGCCUAAGUCGGAUUAGCGAGUUGGUGGGGUAAAGGCCUACCAAGGCGACGAUCUGUAGCGGGUCUGAGAGGAUGAUCCGCCACACUGGGACUGAGACACGGCCCAGACUCCUACGGGAGGCAGCAGUGGGGAAUAUUGGACAAUGGGGGGAACCCUGAUCCAGCCAUGCCGCGUGUGUGAAGAAGGCCUUAUGGUUGUAAAGCACUUUAAGCGAGGAGGAGGCUCUUUUGGUUAAUACCCAAGAUGAGUGGACGUUACUCGCAGAAUAAGCACCGGCUAACUCUGUGCCAGCCGCCGCCGUAA